UUUACUAACACUCAAAAAAAAAAAUAGAGCGAAAUCUAGAAUUCUCUCAAAGCUCCGGUCUAGGGCCAUCACUGCUCGUCCUUGAGCUCUGCCGAGCAUGGUCUUUACGCGCCGACGCGCCAUCCUAAGGACCACCGCACACGGUGGCUAUGGUUUGAAAAACACUUCCUUUCCCUCACCAAUCAUCAGGAAAAUCGCGAAGCUCACGGUGGUAAUCUCAUCAGCGUUGAUGGAGGCGUGGAAUCUAGUGAUGAGGAGCCCUGGGUAUGCUAAGAAGGUGCAUUAAUGGCCUCGAUUCUGGGGAGCUGGACAGACGCUCCUCGAGGCUUCUAGAAGACGUUGCGGCGCUAGAAGAAAGAGGGCAGAAACCCUAGGGUUUCAUGCUUGGGUCUGUAAUAGUUUGGGCCAGUUGGGCCACUUUAGUCCUGGGUCUGUUUGGAUCUGGGUUUGCUGGGUGGCUGUAAUCGGGUAUGGGCUUUUGUAUUUGGGCUUCGGGACUGUUUAAUAAAUAAACAUUUAUUUAUUUAUCUAUUUUUAUUUGGUUUUAAGGCCCGAUUAAAUUUGGGCUAUUACAGGUAUCAUCAAUUGGAAUUGAUCUUUUCAUUGAA